UUACGGUCACAUCACGUUGACGCAUCGGUUCCCGUACGAUCACCGAAAUUAAGCAACGUCGAUCCUGGUCAGUACCUAGAUGAGUAACCGCUUAGGAAUACCAGGUGUUGUAAG